UUACGGGGAGGCAGCAGUGGGGAAUUUUGGACAAUGGGCGCAAGCCUGAUCCAGCCAUGCCGCGUGUCUGAAGAAGGCCUUCGGGUUGUAAAGGACUUUUGUCCGGGAGCAAAUCCCAGUAGUUAAUACCUACUGGGGCUGAGAGUACCGGAAGAAUAAGCACCGGCUAACUACGUGCCAGCAGCCGCGGUAAUACGUAGGGUGCAAGCGUUAAUCGGAAUUACUGGGCGUAAAGCGUGCGCAGGCGGUUGUGCAAGUCUGAUGUGAAAGCCCCGGGCUUAACCUGGGAACGGCAUUGGAGACUGCACGACUAGAGUGCGUCAGAGGGGGGUAGAAUUCCGCGUGUAGCAGUGAAAUGCGUAGAGAUGCGGAGGAAUACCGAUGGCGAAGGCAGCCCCCUGGGAUGACACUGACGCUCAUGCACGAAAGCGUGGGGAGCAAACAGGAUUAGAUACCCUGGUAGUCCACGCCCUAAACGAUGUCAACUAGCUGUUGGGGGUUUGAAUCCUUGGUAGCGUAGCUAACGCGAA
rnacentral:rRNA from 1 species